GUGAAUCAUCAAAUUUUUGAACGCAAAUUGCACUCUCUGGUAUUCCGGAGAGUAUGCCUGUUUGAGGGUCAGUUUAAAUAAAAAUCGGUGUGGUUGCUGCAUUUCGUGGUGACGUAGCGGAUUUGGGUCUUCUUGCGUUCGGUUAAGUAAACUAAAAUUUUGCAUGUUCUUUUCGAACGUAUUUAUAUGACUUUACUUACGUUUGCGAUAGAGAUAUCUAAGUGUGGUAAU
rnacentral:misc_RNA from 1 species